GUCGUAACAAGGUUUCCGUAGGUGAACCUGCGGAAGGAUCAUUAUAGUAUUCUAUUGCCAGCGCUUAAUUGCGCGGCGAUAAACCUUACACACAUUGUCUAGUUUUUUUGAACUUUGCUUUGGGUGCAUCAGCCUAGCUGCGUGCCCAAAGGUCUAAACACAUUUUUUUAAUGUUAAAACCUUUAACCAAUAGUCAUGAAAAUUUUUAACCAAAAUUAAAAUCUUCAAAACUUUCAACAACGGAUCUCUUGGUUCUCGCAACGAUGAAGAACGCAGCGAAAUGCGAUACGUAUUGUGAAUUGCAGAUUUUCGUGAAUCAUCGAAUCUUUGAACGCACAUUGCACCCUCUGGUAUUCCAGAGGGUAUGCCUGUUUGAGCGUCAUUUCUCUCUCAAACCUUCGGGUUUGGUAUUGAGUGAUACUCUGUCAAGGGUUAACUUGAAAUAUUGACUUAGCAAGAGUGUACUAAUAAGCAGUCUUUCUGAAAUAAUGUAUUAGGUUCUUCCAACUCGUUAUAUCAGCUAGGCAGGUUUAGAAGUAUUUUAGGCUCGGCUUAACAACAAUAAACUAAAAGUUUGACCUCAAAUCAGGUAGGACUACCCGCUGAACUUAAGCAUAUCAAUA
rnacentral:rRNA from 1 species